GGGCUCGAGUUGUAAUUUGCAGAGGAUGCUUUUGGCAAUGGUACCUUCCGAGUUCCCUGGAACGGGACGCCAUAGAGGGUGAGAGCCCCGUCUAGUUGGAUGCCUGAGCCUCUAUAAAGCUCCUUCGACGAGUCGAGUAGUUUGGGAAUGCUGCUCAAAGUGGGAGGUAUAUGUCUUCUAAAGCUAAAUACCAGCUAGAGACCGAUAGCGCACAAGUAGAGUGAUCGAAAGAUGAAAAGCACUUUGAAAAGAGGGUUAAAUAGUACGUGAAAUUGCUAAAAGGGAAGCGCUUAUAACUAGACAUGGGGGUAUUUAAUCACCUAGUGGUUUUCGCUAGGGCAUUUAGGUAUUUCUAGGCUAGCAUCGGUUUACUGGCAAGAGAUAAAGAUGUUAGGAACGUAGCUCUCUUCCGGGAGGGUGUUAUAGCCUAGUAUGUAAUGUCUUAUAGUGGACCGAGGUCUGCGCUCCUUGUGGGCAAGGAUGCUGGCAUAAUGGUUAUUAGUGACCCGUCUUGAAACACGGACCAAGGAGUCGUCCUCGUAUGCAAGUGUUUGGGUGGUAAAAACCCCUAUGCGAAAUAAAAGUGAACGUAGGUAAGAGCCCCCUUUUAGGGGGGGGUGCAUUACCGACCGAUCCUGAUGUUCUAUGGAUGGAUUUGAGUAAGAGCAUACGGGGCCGGACCCGAAAGAAGGUGAA
rnacentral:rRNA from 1 species